rnacentral:lncRNA from 1 species
CGGAAAGUUAUAGCAAAGUCUUGGCGAUUUUAUUAAUUCCGCGAUACAGAACGAGAACAUUUUUUCCUUGGCAAGGAAGAGAAGGGACCUUUGCAAAACCUGGGAGUGAGGACACCAGUUGGCUCUGAGUUCGUGAAUGCUUGGUGGUGUCUGGGACAGUGCCUGGUGCUGUCAGCUGGAGCUGGCAGGCCCACAUUGGAAGCAUCUUCUAAGUAGGAAGGGGAGACAAGGGCUUGAAGCUGGGGGAGAUGGGGAAAGCCUCCCGCCCCAUCCACGCCAUUCCUGCCUUCCCCUCGUCCUGGGUAUUUUGGAGCCUGCCAGCUGAGGAGUGCUCUCCCAGGGUUGGGACUGCAGGCGCCUGACAAACUGAAGAGCACUGAAGCUGGAGAUGCAAAGAAGAGGGAGCAUUGACUAUGUUCUUGGAGCAACGAGCAAGUCAGUGAGGCACGCGUGUGACAGGUGCCUUUCCUGAACCCAGCAAUCCUCCUCCCCUUUCCCUGGCUCUCCUGGGAACUCCUAAUGAAGUCAGAAUAAGCCACUCCAUCAAUUUAUGAUCCCCAGAUGACUGUGUCCCUUUGCUCCUUAAUCACUCAGGUACCCAGAUUCUCUAUUAGCAAGAAGCCCAGAACCCCCUUCUCGAGUCCUCUCUCGUUUUCAAUCUUCCAAGGACACCGAAGUCUUCCUUAACCCACUGCUGGGGGUUGACUGCCGAAGGUCACUGAUGCCGGGGCAUCUUGCCACCACAUGGGGGCACUGCCAAAGAUGUGUGCAGAAUAGUCCUGCAGACACUGCGCUCGGCAGCGGAG